rnacentral:rRNA from 1 species
UAAGGGCGCACGGUGGAUGCCUUGGCACUAGAAGCCGAUGAAGGACGUUACUAACGACGAUAUGCUUUGGGGAGCUGUAAGUAAGCUUUGAUCCAGAGAUUUCCGAAUGGGGAAACCCAGCAUGAGUUAUGUCAUGUUAUCGAUAUGUGAAUACAUAGCAUAUCAGAAGGCACACCCGGAGAACUGAAACAUCUUAGUACCCGGAGGAAGAGAAAGAAAAUUCGAUUCCCUUAGUAGCGGCGAGCGAAACGGGAAGAGCCCAAACCAACAAGCUUGCUUGUUGGGGUUGUAGGACACUCUAUACGGAGUUACAAAGGACGACAUUAGACGAAUCAUCUGGAAAGAUGAAUCAAAGAAGGUAAUAAUCCUGUAGUCGAAAAUGUUGUCUCUCUUGAGUGGAUCCUGAGUACGACGGAGCACGUGAAAUUCCGUCGGAAUCUGGGAGGACCAUCUCCUAAGGCUAAAUACUCUCUAGUGACCGAUAGUGAACCAGUACCGUGAGGGAAAGGUGAAAAGCACCCCGGAAGGGGAGUGAAAUAGAACCUGAAACCGUGUGCUUACAAGUAGUCAGAGCCCGUUAAUGGGUGAUGGCGUGCCUUUUGUAGAAUGAACCGGCGAGUUACGAUUUGAUGCAAGGUUAAGCAGUAAAUGUGGAGCCGUAGCGAAAGCGAGUCUGAAUAGGGCGUUUAGUAUUUGGUCGUAGACCCGAAACCAGGUGAUCUACCCUUGGUCAGGUUGAAGUUCAGGUAACACUGAAUGGAGGACCGAACCGACUUACGUUGAAAAGUGAGCGGAUGAACUGAGGGUAGCGGAGAAAUUCCAAUCGAACCUGGAGAUAGCUGGUUCUCUCCGAAAUAGCUUUAGGGCUAGCCUCAAGUGAUGAUUAUUGGAGGUAGAGCACUGUUUGGACGAGGGGCCCCUCUCGGGUUACCGAAUUCAGACAAACUCCGAAUGCCAAUUAAUUUAACUUGGGAGUCAGAACAUGGGUGAUAAGGUCCGUGUUCGAAAGGGAAACAGCCCAGACCACCAGCUAAGGUCCCAAAAUAUAUGUUAAGUGGAAAAGGAUGUGGCGUUGCCCAGACAACUAGGAUGUUGGCUUAGAAGCAGCCAUCAUUUAAAGAGUGCGUAAUAGCUCACUAGUCGAGUGACACUGCGCCGAAAAUGUACCGGGGCUAAACAUAUUACCGAAGCUGUGGAUUGUCCUUUGGACAAUGGUAGGAGAGCGUUCUAAGGGCGUUGAAGCAUGAUCGUAAGGACAUGUGGAGCGCUUAGAAGUGAGAAUGCCGGUGUGAGUAGCGAAAGACGGGUGAGAAUCCCGUCCACCGAUUGACUAAGGUUUCCAGAGGAAGGCUCGUCCGCUCUGGGUUAGUCGGGUCCUAAGCUGAGGCCGACAGGCGUAGGCGAUGGAUAACAGGUUGAUAUUCCUGUACCACCUAUAAUCGUUUUAAUCGAUGGGGGGACGCAGUAGGAUAGGCGAAGCGUGCGAUUGGAUUGCACGUCUAAGCAGUAAGGCUGAGUAUUAGGCAAAUCCGGUACUCG